UUCCGGUUGAUCCCGCCGGAGGCUACCGCUAUUGGAGUUCGAUUAAGCCAUGCGAGUCGCGAGUCUUAGGGACUCGGCGUACCGCUCAGUAACACGUGGGUAACCUGCCCUAUGCUGGGGGAUAACCUCGGGAAACUGAGAAUAAUACCCCAUAGUUCACCACGCCUGGAACGGUUGGUGGAUGAAAGCUCCGGCGGCAUAGGAUGGGCCUGCGGCGUAUCAGGUUGUAGGGGGUGUAAUGUACCCUCUAGCCAUCUACGCGUACGGGUGUUGGGAGACAUCGCCCGGAGAUGGAUUCUGAGACACGAAUCCAGACCCUACGGGGUGCAGCAGGCGCGAAAACUUGGCAAUGCGAGCAAUCGUGACCAGGGAACUCCAAGUGCAUCGGGUAAGACCGAUGCUUUUCUUGACUCUUCAAAGGUCUUGGAAUAAGGGGUGGGUAAGGACGGUGCCAGCCGCCGCGGUAAUACCGGCGCCCCAAGUGGUAGUCGCUUUUAUUGGGCCUAAAACGUCCGUAGCCGGUCUGGUACAUUCGUGGGUAAAUCAACCAGCUCAACUGGUUGAAUUCUGCGAGCACGGCCAGACUUGGGACCGGGAGAGGUGUGGGGUACUCUCAGGGUAGGGGUAAAAUCCUGUCAUCCUGAGAGGACCACCUGUUGCGAAGGCGCCACACUAGAACGGAUCCGACGGUCAGGGACGAAGCCUAGGGGCACGAACCGGAUUAGAUACCCGGGUAGUCCUAGGUGUAAACGCUGUGGACUUGAUGUUGGGGGCGCUCCGAGCGCACUCAGUGUCGAAGCGAAGGUGAUAAGUCCACUGCCUGGGGAGUACGGUCGCAAGGCUGAAACUUAAAGGAAUUGGCGGGGGAGCACCGCAACCUGAGGAUUGUGCGGUUUAAUUGGAUUCAACGCCGGA
rnacentral:rRNA from 1 species